rnacentral:rRNA from 1 species
GACGAACGCUGGCGGCGUGCUUAACACAUGCAAGUCGAACGGUAAGGCCCUUCGGGGUACACGAGUGGCGAACGGGUGAGUAACACGUGGGUGAUCUGCCCUGCACUUCGGGAUAAGCCUGGGAAACUGGGUCUAAUACCGGAUAGGACCACUGCCUGCAUGGGUGGUGGUGGAAAGCUUUUGCGGUGUGGGAUGGGCCCGCGGCCUAUCAGCUUGUUGGUGGGGUGAUGGCCUACCAAGGCGACGACGGGUAGCCGGCCCGAGAGGGUGACCGGCCACACUGAGCAUGAGAGACGGCCCAGACUCCUACGGGAGGCAGGAGUGGGGAAUAUUGCACAAUGGGCGCAAGCCUGAUGCAGCGACGCCGCGUGAGGGAUGACGGCCUUCGGGUUGUAAACCUCUUUCAGCACCGACGAAGCGCAAGUGACGGUAGGUGCAGAAGAAGGACCGGCCAACUACGUGCCAGCAGCCGCAGUAA